GAUGAAGAACGCAGCGAAAUGCGAUACGUAAUGUGAAUUGCAGAAUUCAGUGAAUCAUCGAGUCUUUGAACGCACAUUGCGCCCCCUGGUAUUCCGGGGGGCAUGCCUGUCCGAGCGUCAUUGCUGCCCUCAAGCACGGCUUGUGUGUUGGGCCUCCGUCCUCCUCCCGGGGGACGGGCCCGAAAGGCACCGGCGGCACCGCGUCCGGUCCUCGAGCGUAUGGGGCUUCGUCACCCGCUCUUGUAGGCCCGGCCGGCGCUUGCCGACACAUCAAUCUUUUUUCCAGGUUGACCUCGGAUCAGGUAGGGAUACCCGCUGAACUUAAGCAUAUCAAUAAGCGGAGGA
rnacentral:misc_RNA from 1 species